UAUAAUAGGGGUAUUCUCUUGCUCUUGCAAACCCCGGUGCACGGUGCAAGCAUUGCAAAUUUACAACGGCACAACAACAAACACACGCAGAAAAAUAUUUGCAAGGGCUGUGAAAUAUGUCAGACCUAAACCCGUGUAUAUUAGCGUGCAAUGUCACGCAAAAAUAAAAUUGCAACCCUGUUGUAGUUGCCAUUUUACAUAAAGACAUAUUACGUCGUUAAAUUGUUGAGAAAGUUUUCCACAAAUAUGAAUAGCGAAGUUGCGCCCCCAGCAAAGAGGAAAAGGCAGCAGCCAAACAAGAAGUGGAAGGAGAGUGAGGUGCACUCUAUAAUUGAGUUUUUAAUGGAAGAGCCGGAAUUUGAGGCUCCAACUGCGCAAUUGUUUUAUAAACGAUUUUUACGUAACUCGCAGUUGGAUGUCUCAUGGGAUCUGGUGCGGUGGAAGGUCCGACAUUUGAAGGCGCAGUACCGUAAA